rnacentral:rRNA from 1 species
UACAGAGGGUGCGAGCGUUGUCCGGAAUUACUGGGCGUAAAGGGCCAGUAGGCGGCCAACUAAGUCACACGUGAAAUCCCCAGGCUUAACCUGGGAACUGCGUGUGAUACUGGAUGGCUUGAAUUCGGGAGAGGGAUGCAGAAUUCCAGGUGUAGCGGUGAAAUGCGUAGAUAUCUGGAGGAAUACCGGUGGCGAAGGCGGCAUCCUGGACCGACAUUGACGCUGAACGGCGAAAGCUAGGGGAGCAAACGGG